rnacentral:tRNA from 1 species
GGAGAGUUGGCCGAGUGGCAAGGCAGCGGCUUGGCUCAACCCCCGCGCGCGUUCGAUCCGCACACUCUCCG